rnacentral:lncRNA from 1 species
AUGAGGCUGGGCAUUGGUACUUAAACAUUUCUCCAUACUGGUAUUUUAAAAAAUGUGAUUUUUACAUUCAGACUGGAUUGAAAAAUCACCCUUAUAAGUUGGUUUCUUUAUAUUUUACAUUGCAUUUCCCCCAGUUCUGUUCCUCUCCUCGCACCACUCUGGACAAAAUAUUCAUUAUGACUUCUGUGUCCUAUUGCUUUAUUAUCUGAAAAGGCUAUUUAAAAAUGGUGGAGCAUCCUUGAGCAGACCUAGUCACCCUUGUGUGAUAUGGAAUCACCAAAGCUUGAAGAAAUUUGGUCCGUGUAUGUGCCUCAACUUUGCCCAUAUAUUUCCUGUGAAGAUGAUCAAGAUGCAACAUGCGAGUUCUCAAAAUUGAGAAUAUAAUAGCUAUAAAUAAUCAAAGCCAGGCUACCACAAGAUGGCAGCAGGUACAUAGACUCAAUUACAUGGUCUAACCUUGAAGGUAAUUCCAUUACCUGAGGUCCAGAUUUCAAACCUGAA